CACGUAGGGGCGAGCGUUGUCCGGAAUCAUUGGGCGUAAAGAGCUCGUAGGCGGCUCGGUAAGUCGGGUGUGAAACCCCCAGGCUCAACCUGGGGACGCCACCCGAUACUGCUGUGGCUAGAGUCCAGUAGGGGAGUGUGGAAUUCCCGGUGUAGCGGUGAAAUGCGCAGAUAUCGGGAGGAACACCAGCGGCGAAGGCGGCACUCUGGGCUGGAACUGACGCUGAGGAGCGAAAGCGUGGGUAGCAAACGAGGA
rnacentral:rRNA from 1 species